rnacentral:rRNA from 1 species
AUGAUACCCGGGUAGUCCACGCCGUAAACGAUGAGUGCUAAGUGUUAGAGGGUUUCCGCCCUUUAGUGCUGCAGCUAACGCAUUAAGCACUCCGCCUGGGGAGUACGGUCGCAAGACUGAAACUCAAAGGAAUUGACGGGGGCCCGCACAAGCGGUGGAGCAUGUGGUUUAAUUCGAAGCAACGCGAAGAACCUUACCAGGUCUUGACAUCCCACUGACCGGUAUAGAGAUAUACCUUUCCCUUCGGGGACAGUGGUGACAGGUGGUGCAUGGUUGUCGUCAGCUCGUGUCGUGAGAUGUUGGGUUAAGUCCCGCAACGAGCGCAACCCUUGAUCUUAGUUGCCAGCAUUUAGUUGGGCACUCUAAGGUGACUGCCGGUGACAAACCGGAGGAAGGUGGGGAUGACGUCAAAUCAUCAUGCCCCUUAUGACCUGGGCUACACACGUGCUACAAUGGAUGGUACAAAGGGCUGCAAGACUGCGAAGUCAAGCCAAUCCCAUAAAACCAUUCUCAGUUCGGAUUGCAGG